rnacentral:rRNA from 1 species
AGAUUGAACGCUGGCGGCAUGCUUUACACAUGCAAGUCGAACGGUAACAGGCCGCAAGGUGCUGACGAGUGGCGAACGGGUGAGUAAUGCAUCGGAACGUGCCCAGUCGUGGGGGAUAACGCAGCGAAAGCUGUGCUAAUACCGCAUACGAUCUAUGGAUGAAAGCGGGGGACCGAAAGGCCUCGCGCGAUUGGAGCGGCCGAUGUCAGAUUAGCUAGUUGGUGGGGUAAAGGCCCACCAAGGCGACGAUCUGUAGCUGGUCUGAGAGGACGACCAGCCACACUGGAACUGAGACACGGUCCAGACUCCGUACGGGAGGCAGCGAGGUGGGGAAUUUUGGGACAAGUGGGCGACAAGCCUGAUCCAGCAAUGGCCGCGUGCGAGGAAGGAACGGUCCGUUACGGUUACGUAACGUACGGUUAC